ensembl:lncRNA
CCUUUAUUUUGCAGCUUCCAAGAUGCUAGUGGGGCCUUCCUUUGGAAGAGUUGAGCGCCCUACCGCAACACUUGUUGAGCUCACAACACUCGGCGAGGCCGCGGGGAACUGCACUGUGAUCCAUGGGAAGCAGAGGCCCUACCCAGCAGCCCCCACGGGAGAGGCGGGGCAGAUCUCUGGAUCCUACCAGGAAAGAGGUGAGGGUGCAAGGAGGCCUGCCGGAAUGAGCUCCACCUGGUCGGCUUUCAGGGAGAAUCAGUGCCCAGAAGAGCCUCCUUUGCUCCAGGUCAGCUGGAACGGCCCAGGUAUGGGUACAGGGAGCGGAAGCUUUGCAUCUUCACUGCAGCACUGAGUCCAUUGGCCUUAGGAGCAGCCCUCCCCUGGGUGGGGACCGUGACGGCAGCGGCACUGUGGUGGACCACUGCUGAAUGAAGUUGUGAUGCGUGGGCACUUGGGUCUCAGUUUCCUGCGCGUAUCUCUGAGCCCUUUCUGGAGAUGACUGCAGAGAUCUCGAAGCUCUCAUUAGCCCUGCUGAAAGCAAAUUGCUCGGAACCCGGGAACACGUGCUGCUCCAUAUCCCGCUUGGGUCCAUGGUCCCGGGGAGGAAAUAUCUUCUGUCUCUUCUGGAAGCCCUUGGAUGACACUAGCUUCACUGCUUGGGAAAGAAAUAAUUGAUCAGUCAUAGGAUAUUGUCAGCUGAGCAGCAGUGACAAAAGAACCAUCCAGACUGUGCAGUUACCUAGGCCUUGGCUCCACCGCCUCUUCCUAGGAUACAGCUUGUACCUGGAGGGCUGAAAGGAGAGGAGUAUGGGAUUGGGCAACCACAGACAGGCACUGGGGAAAUCACAUUUCGUCAAGGCCCUCUGACUCCUGCCAGCCCGUGUGAGACUGGGAGGCUCUGCUUGGACCCCAUACACCAUUCACCUGAUUGAAAAUAAGCAGACUAGUCCAUCCACUCAGUGGAAAUGGAUUAAAAGAGUACAGAAAACAGCACCACCAGGAGCAGGGACGUUCGCAUAUACAGUAAAAAUGUACAGUAUCUUCAAUGCAAAGUUGGACUGGUGCCAACCCCCUCCCCCUCCCCACCCAGAAGCAUCUUCAUUUGAAUUUAAAGGGGUGGAUGAGUGACAGCAAGACUCUGUUCUCCUUCUGACAGGGCUUUGGCAGAUCAUUGGUUGUCAUCAAACCUAUUCCAUUUCUUGCUCCCUGCCAGGAAUUCCACCUACAUGCCUGAUGGCAAUUAAUCCCUCGUAGGUGCUAAUGAAUAAAACGCAGCAUGUAGACUUCAAGAGGAUGAAAAAGCCUACAAUCCAGAUCCAGAGAGGCACUCCAAGUAUCAGCCCCCCACGCCGGUCGCCCCUCAGAUGUCACUCUCACCCUGGCCAGCAAGUGCUGUGCCAGGGCCAGCCCACCCCUGUGCUGUGCACUUGAGCACAGGGGGUAGGAGGGAGCUGUCCAUGAGGACAUAACUCAGUAGAAAGCAUGAUUUUAGAACCUGAAGUGUUAACCUGUUUUUUGGUCACUGUCACAGACCAUGAUGCUACCAGUUUAAGUCUGUACUGGGGUAUGAGAACUGAAUCUCCAAACCAAAAAUCCUUUAGAAGAAGCAUUUAAAGAUCUGAUUAGAGAGCAGGCUGCAUUGGUGGGGUGGAGACUGUUGUGUUAUCAGUGCUUCCCAUUCUUGCUGAUAAUCAGAUGUCCCUAAGCAGCAUUUAAAAGUAGUUUCCUUGGCCCUGUUUCUGGAGAUUCUCUGCUGGGAGGCCUAGGAUAGAGCCUGAGAAUCUAAAUUUAAAAAAAAAAAAAAAUUUCCCAGGUGAAUCUGAUCUUCAGGCCAGAUUCCAUACUCCAGGAUUAGAUGAACUUCUGUAUCCCAUUUAACUGGAAAACUCCAGGAUUAAGUAUUGAUUGGAAGAUUCUUAAAGAUUAUGCUCACUUUUCAUCUGUACUUUUACUAUGUUUUGUGUUUAAAACGAGCAAGCAAUUAUCUUUCAUAAUGUAACCACCUCUCAGAUAUAAAUCGAUGUUCAAAAAGUUCUUUUAAUUGAAGCUGUAGCUUAUUUUUAAUUUUUAAUACUUUAAUUAGAAUUUCCAAAUUUUAUGUCUUUACUAAAAACUGAACAUGGAUAUUUUUAAUAAUAAAAACUCAACAAAUGUUAUUUUUAAAGACCUUUUUGCAUCCCAAGAGAAGCUAAUCUGUUCACAGAGAAAAUUAUAUUUUAGUACUGUUGGUGUCUUUUAAAUCCUAUGUGUUUUAACCUAUGCAGCUAAAAUAUAUUUACUUAGAAAAGGGGAUUAUAAAUGUCACCAGACUGUCAUUUAGAUAGUCCAGAGGAGUUUCAGGAAAAAAGGUAAGGAUCCCUGAUACACCAAAGACCAGUUUGUUAUUCGUAUUUUACAUGUACAUAAACAUUGUCUUCCUAGGAUCUCAAAACACGUUAUAAGACUAUUGCAGCUAAAGACUCGGAGUAACACAGUCUUGCAAUUUGGUCUCCUCUGAUAGUAGCAAACCAAAGAAAGUGACAAAAAAGGCAUUUUUAUUCUAGUUUUCACGGGCUCCCAAAGUCAAGAUAGUUUGAAUAGGAUUCCCUGGAGCAUUUGAACUCCAUCAUGUUUAUCAGAGAGAGAACUUAAUCCAAACCCUUUGAGGUUUGUUCUUCUCCAGUCAAUAUCUAUUACAGCCAAACAAUCAUGGUUCUAAAGUAUAACAGUGAAGCGAGGAAGAAAAGAGAGAUUUUUCUUUCUGAUAGCGAAAUGGGCAGGUGCAUUGGAACUGAAAGGCCAUAAUU